CUGGUGUGUUCAGAGCAGGUGUCUCUAAGACCAUAGAUCCCUGUUUAUACCACACCAUACAGCAACAAGAGUCUGGAAGAGACCCAGGUACUAGAGGCAGAGUGUUUGGACCAGCACCGACUCAUACAA
ensembl:snoRNA small nucleolar RNA SNORA11